rnacentral:tRNA from 1 species
GAGGGUAUAGCUCAGUGGUACAGUGCAGUGCUUAGCAUGGGCAGGGUCCUGGGUUCAAUCCCCAGUACCGUCA